rnacentral:rRNA from 1 species
CCUGCGGAAGGAUCAUUGUCGAAAUCUCGUGGAGCAGUGCGACUUGAGAACAUGUGCAAAUCCAAAGCCAAGAGUGCUGGGUCCAUCCUAUGGGUCUGGCCUCGUCGAACAAAAAAUCGGCGCAGCAGCGCCAAGGAAUUUAGUAAAGAGAAUGCUAGCUUGUGAAGCUCGCUUUGAGAGCUUGCGCGGGUUGCGUCUUUAGUAAGAAAAUGACUCUCGUCAAUGGAUAUCUCGGCUCUUGCAUCGAUGAAGAACGUAGCGAAAUGCGAUACUUGGUGUGAAUUGCAGAAUCCCGUGAACCAUCGAAUCUUUGAACGCAAGUUGCGCCUAAAGCCCAUAAGGUUGAGGGCACGUUUGCUUGGGUGUCACGCACGUGUCGCUCCCCUCGUGUUUUGGGGUUGGAGCGGAUCAUGGCCUCCCGGGCCCAACCUUGGGUGUGGUUGGCCGAAAAUCUUGUCCAUGAUGAUGUUCGAUGUCUUGGCGUGUGGUGGGUGUACGUAGUGUGCAAAAAGCCACGCCUUGCGCAACUGGAUUGUCGGCUUGACCCUUUGGAGCAGAUGGACUUUGCUCUUUGACUGCGACCCCAA